CCGGCGCACGGGUGAGUAACGCGUAUCCAACCUGCCCUUUACUUGGGGAUAACCCGUUGAAAGACGGACUAAUACCCAAUGAUAUCCAUUGAUGACAUCUGAUUUGAAUUAAAGAUUUAUCGGUAUAGGAUGGGGAUGCGUCUGAUUAGCUUGUUGGUGAGGUAAUGGCUCACCAAGGCCACGAUCAGUAGGGGUUCUGAGAGGAAGGUCCCCCACAUUGGAACUGAGACACGGUCCAAACUCCUACGGGAGGCAGCAGUG
rnacentral:rRNA from 1 species